GCUAGUAAUCGCAGAUCAGCAUGCUGUGGUGAAUACGUUCCCGGGCCUUGUACACACCGCCCGUCACACCAUGGGAGUCGGUAACACCCAAAGUUGGUAGUCUAACCGCAAGGAGGACGCCGCCUAAGGUGGGAUUGAUGACUGGGGUGAAGUCGUAACAAGGUAUC
rnacentral:rRNA from 1 species